UUGACGGGGCCGCACAAGCGGUGGAUUAUGUGGAUUAAUUCGAUGCAACGCGAAAACCUUACCUACCCUUGACAUGCUAGGAACUUGCCAGAGAUGGCUUGGUGCCCGAAAGGGAACCUAGACACAGGUGCUGCAUGGCUGUCGUCAGCUCGUGUCGUGAGAUGUUGGGUUAAGUCCCGCAACGAGCGCAACCCUUGUCAUUAAUUGCCAUCAUUCAGUUGGGCACUUUAAUGAGACUGCCGGUGACAAACCGGAGGAAGGUGGGGAUGACGUCAAGUCCUCAUGGCCCUUAUGGGUAGGGCUUCACACGUAAUACAAUGGUCGGUACAGAGGGUUGCCAACCCGCGAGGGGGAGCCAAUCCCAGAAAACCGAUCGUAGUCCGGAUUGCAGUCUGCAACUCGACUGCAUGAAGUCGGAAUCGCUAGUAAUCGCGGAUCAGCAUGUCGCGGUGAAUACGUUCCCGGGCCUU
rnacentral:rRNA from 1 species